GGGCUCACACAAGCGGUGGAGGAUGUGGCUUAAUUCGAGGCUACGCGAAGAACCUUAUCCUGGUCUUGACAUGUUUGAGAACCCUCCUGAAAGGGAGGGGUGCCCUUCGGGGAGCUCUUGCACAGGUGCUGCAUGGCUGUCGUCAGCUCGUGUCGUGAGAUGUCGGGUUAAGUCCCUUAACGAGCGAAACCCUUGUCCCUAGUUGCCAGCGAGUCAUGUCGGGGACUCUAGGGAGACUGCCGGUGUUAAACCGGAGGAAGGUGGGGAUGACGUCAAGUCCUCAUGGCCUUUAUGACCAGGGCUGCACACGUCCUACAAUGGCGCGCACAAAGGGAAGCGAACUCGCGAGAGCAAGCAAAUCCCAGAAAACGCGCCUCAGUUCGGAUUGCAGGCUGCAACUCGCCUGCAUGAAGCCGGAAUCGCUAGUAA
rnacentral:rRNA from 1 species